UACGUAGGGGGCAAGCGUUAUCCGGAUUUACUGGGUGUAAAGGGAGCGUAGACGGUGAUGCAAGUCAGAAGUGAAAGCCCGGGGCCCAACCCCGGGACUGCCCUUGGAACUGCAUGGCUGGAGUGCGGGAGGGGCAGGCGGAAUUCCUAGUGUAGCGGUGAAAUGCGUAGAUAUUAGGAGGAACACCAGUGGCGAAGGCGGCUUACUGGACGGAAACUGACGUUGAGGCUCGAAAGCGUGGGGAGCAAACAGG
rnacentral:rRNA from 1 species